GUGUGGUGGCUUUGCUCCAGACACCUGCCUCAGAGGACUGCAGCGGCUGCUCUCCAGUCACCGUGCACAGCCUGAGCAUCUGUGACUCCCAGCGAUGAAGACCCUCGCUCUCCUGGCUCUCAUUCUCCUGGUGGCCCUCCAAGCCCAGGCUGAGCUCCUCACAGUGAAUGCUGAUGAAGUUGCGGAUCAGCAGCAGUCAGGGGCAGAGGACCAGGACGUGGCUGUGUACAUGAAAGCGGAAGAAAGCUCCAUUCUUGAAGCUCUAGGUGUCAGCACAGGUGUCGUCUGCACUUGCAGAAGAAGAGUGUGUGCAUCUCAGGAGCGCCGCUUUGGGGUCUGCAU